CCCUAUCUGUUGUGGGCGUAAGAAAUUUGAGUAGAUCUGACUUUAGUACGAGAGGACCGAGUUGGACUGACCUCUGGUGUACCAGUUGUUCCGCCAGGAGCACUGCUGGGUAGCUACGUCGGGAAGGGAUAAGCGCUGAAAGCAUAUAAGCGCGAAACCCACCACAAGAUGAGAUUUCUUUAAAGGGUCGUGGGAGACUACCACGUUGAUAGGCCAUAGGUGGAAGUGCGGCAACGUGCGUAGCCGA
rnacentral:rRNA from 14 species